CCCAGGUCAGGCGGGGCUACCCGCUGAAUUUAAGCAUAUCAAUAAGGCGGGAGGAA
rnacentral:rRNA from 1 species